GGCGUGUGGGGGAGCCCUGAGAGCGAAGGCGCGUGUUCGCGCGCGUCCGUGAGGCCGCGUGUGUGAGGCGAUGUACACUGAGAGGCCGUAGUGUUGCGGCGGGGACACAGCUGGUCCUGAGAAGGCAUCAUACUCAGACAAGCCUGCAAGAUUGCAUUCAUUCCUGUUGUUUCCGUUAGUGAUGCUCGUCCAUGGAAUGAUAAUCUAAUUUUCCUCCGUGGGUUGAUGUUCUGUCAUCAGAGGAGUGUCAGGAAGACCUAUUACAGAGCAGACAUCUAAGAUGAGGAGAUAAUGAGAAUUUGAAGACUCUAGAAAGAAUAAACUAAAGGGAUGUCAAGACCA
rnacentral:lncRNA from 1 species